rnacentral:rRNA from 1 species
GACGAACGCUUGCGGCGUGCUUAACACAUGCAAGUCGAACGGAAAGGCCCUGCUUUUGUGGGGUGCUCGAGUGGCGAACGGGUGAGUAACACGUGAGUAACCUGCCCUUGACUUUGGGAUAACUUCAGGAAACUGGGGCUAAUACCGGAUAGGAGCUCCUGCUGCAUGGUGGGGGUUGGAAAGUUUCGGCGGUUGGGGAUGGACUCGCGGCUUAUCAGCUUGUUGGUGGGGUAGUGGCUUACCAAGGCUUUGACGGGUAGCCGGCCUGAGAGGGUGACCGGCCACAUUGGGACUGAGAUACGGCCCAGACUCCUACGGGAGGCAGCAGUGGGGAAUAUUGCACAAUGGGCGGAAGCCUGAUGCAGCAACGCCGCGUGCGGGAUGACGGCCUUCGGGUUGUAAACCGCUUUCGCCUGUGACGAAGCGUGAGUGACGGUAAUGGGUAAAGAAGCACCGGCUAACUACGUGCCAGCAGCCGCGGUGAUACCUAGGGUGCGAGCGUUGUCCGGAUUUAUUGGGCGUAAGGGCUCGUAGGUGGUUGAUCGCGUCGGAAGUGUAAUCUUGGGGCUUAACCCUGAGCGUGCUUUCGAUACGGGUUGACUUGAGGAAGGUAGGGGGAGAAUGGAAUUCCUGGUGGAGCGGUGGAAUGCGCAGAUAUCAGGAGGAACACCAGUGGCGAAGGCGGUUCUCUGGGCCUUUCCUGACGCUGAGGAGCGAAAGCGUGGGGAGCGAACAGGCUUAGAUACCCUGGUAGUCCACGCUGUAAACGGUGGGUACUAGGUGUGGGGUCCAUUCCACGGGUUCCGUGCCGUAGCUAACGCUUUAAGUACCCCGCCUGGGGAGUACGGCCGCAAGGCUAAAACUCAAAGGAAUUGACGGGGCCCCGCACAAGCGGCGGAGCAUGCGGAUUAAUUCGAUGCAACGCGUAGAACCUUACCUGGGUUUGACAUGGAUCGGGAGCGCUCAGAGAUGGGUGUGCCUCUUUUGGGGUCGGUUCACAGGUGGUGCAUGGCUGUCGUCAGCUCGUGUCGUGAGAUGUUGGGUUAAGUCCCGCAACGAGCGCAACCCUUGUUCACUGUUGCCAGCACGUUAUGGUGGGGACUCAGUGGAGACCGCCGGGGUCAACUCGGAGGAAGGUGGGGAUGACGUCAAGUCAUCAUGCCCCUUAUGUCCAGGGCUUCACGCAUGCUACAAUGGCUGGUACAGAGAGUGGCGAGCCUGUGAGGGUGAGCGAAUCUCGGAAAGCCGGUCUCAGUUCGGAUUGGGGUCUGCAACUCGACCUCAUGAAGUCGGAGUCGCUAGUAAUCGCAGAUCAGCAACGCUGCGGUGAAUACGUUCCCGGG